GACGAACGCUGGCGGCGUGCUUAACACAUGCAAGUCGAACGGUGAAGGGACCGGUUUUUGCUGGUUCUGGAUGAGUGGCGAACGGGUGAGUAACACGUGAGUAACCUGCCCCCUUCUUCUGGAUAACCGCAUGAAAGUGUGGCUAAUACGGGAUAUUCUGCGCCUGCUGCAUGGUGGGUGUGGGUUAGAUAUUGUUUCGGUGGGGGAUGGGCUCGCGGCCUAUCAGCUUGUUGGUGGGGUGAUGGCCUACCAAGGCGGUGACGGGUAGCCGGCCUGAGAGGGUGGACGGUCACACUGGGACUGAGGCACGGCCCAGACUCCUACGGGAGGCAGCAGUGGGGAAUAUUGCACAAUGGGCGCAAGCCUGAUGCAGCGACGCCGCGUGAGGGAUGGAGGCCUUCGGGUUGUAAACCUCUUUCGCCAGUGAAGCAGGCCUGUCCCUUGUGUGGGUGGGUUGACGGUAGCUGGAUAAGAAGCGCCGGCUAACUACGUG
rnacentral:rRNA from 1 species